rnacentral:misc_RNA from 1 species
UAGAGUUGUAAAACUCCCUAAACCCACUGUUUAUCUAUCCUAUAUCGUCUGCUUCGGCGGGCGGCCCCAGGGCGGGGCCGCAGCCUUGCGCUUCGGCGUCAGGCGCCCGCCGGAGGGGACACCCACAAAACUCUUGUUUCUGUGAAACUCUGAGAACAAAAAGACAAAUAGUCA